AUUUAACUUUCCUUGACACUAUAUAUAGGUAUUCAGAUGGAAUCCUUGCAGUCGACCAACAGACAGAACGACGCUCGUCAGUAGAAGAUCAGUCUUGAGCCAAGAUGAAAUCGCUUAUUGCCUUUACCGCCAUCCUGGCAGUUGUAUGCUGUGUGUAUGCCCAGUCUUACAGGUCAAGUUAUGACCCAUAUGACAACUAUAAUGGGCUCGGACUCCUUACUGGAUCAAGACUACCACGUAUCAGAUCUGGGCGAUUGACAACAGGACGCUUGCUAGGUGGAACUCGAAGACUCUCCAGACUUGGACAUGGAACCGUGUAUAGACCAAGCAGAUCACGAUACAUAAAUACAGGUGCAAGUUACUCUAGGAGGAGGCCGAUCUAUCCUACUACCUAUUAGACGUUACCAAAUCCAAUGCAGAGGGAUUUCUUCUAUAUUUCAAUAGACAACGAUGUGCCAAAUUCUUUAAUACAUGUUACUUAAUUAUUGAAAUAUCUUGUUACAAUUUUGUUAACAGAUGUACUAGAAAAUAAUAAAAAAAGUAAAUUGUU
rnacentral:lncRNA from 1 species